rnacentral:lncRNA from 1 species
UACUGGGAAAUACUUAUUUGCUCUUGACUCAUGAUUGGUGUAUUUCUUAUUGGCAACAAAAUGAAACAGAAACUAAUGUUAGAGUUGUUGUUACUGCAAUUCUUUGCACAUCUUAGAGUUGUUUUUUAAUAAGGAAUUGCACAUCUUAGAGUUGUUAGAAGUAUUAUUAUAUUUUCUGAAAGUACAUCUUGUAGAUUGGCCCUUUCCCAAAUCCCGUGCAUAGUGAAAAUUUUAGUGCAUCGGCUGUCUUUUUCACGUCUUAAGAUUAUUACUUUCAAAUCUGAGUAUUUGAUUUUCUGUUUUCAGAAAAACAUGUUGCAGGGUAAUUCAAUUAAUAUCGCCCAUACAUAAAUUACAAUGAUGGUAGUAAAUUUUACUCUCCUCUGAGAAAACACAUCCAAGAAGCUUCGGAGCUAUGAAAAUGACCAAGAACUGUUCAAAAGGUUUUGAAGUAGCACAAAGUUUUCUUUUUGAAUCUUAUGCGCUAAGAGACUGUGUUUUCAUGCUUUUGUCCAACUCAGCAUAAUAGGUGAAAAUAAUUACGGGAAAAAAAAUUUAGGAGUGUAAUAGGAGCUUCUUAAAGGAAAGGUGUGUAAUUAAAAGAAUGAUGAUAGGAUAAGGGAGUAGUUAUGCAUUUUGCCAAAAGUUUAGGGGGGUAAUAGGACCUUCUUAAAGAAAAGGUGUGUAAUUGAAAAUAUGAUGACUGAGUAAGGGGUAGUUAUGCAUUUUGCCGGAAAAAAAUUUAAAUAUAUCCCAUGAAUGAGAUAGAAAACAUGCAACAAUAAGCAGACGUAUCGAGCUACAAAUUAGCCUCCUGACCAACCUCCUAUCUGACUCUUCCUUGUAGGGGCGAAACAAAGCUUUAUCACUGUUGCAAGUAGGGCUGGCAAUUUCAGCCCAUAUUUGUGAAAAGAGUCUAUUUAACCCAUAUUUAUUGAAUUGGAUCACUCAUAUUUCAAAUGGGUAAAUAUGGACUUCAGAUCAUUUUAAAAGCUCAUACAAAUAUGGACAAAAUGGGUAAAAUAUAGGUACCCAUUUUUUUUUUCUGUUCUAGUUUUUUUUCUUCUUCUUUUUUGUUUUUCUUUCUUUUUUCCUUUAAUUUACUUUUUUGCUUUUUCAUUUUUUACUCGUUUCAUAUAAUUUAUUUUUUUCUUUCUCAUUUUUUCAUCUAUUUUUUUUCUUUUUUCUUUAUAUUUUUUUUCGUUUUCCCCUUCCUCAUUCUUAUUUGAUCAUUCAUAUUCGCUUGAGAGCUACAUGGGUUAAUUAAUUU